CCUACGGGUGGCAGCAGUGGGGAAUAUUGGACAAUGGGCGAAAGCCUGAUCCAGCAAUGCCGCGUGAGUGAUGAAGGCCUUAGGGUUGUAAAGCUCUUUUACCCGGGAAGAUAAUGACUGUACCGGGAGAAUAAGCCCCGGCUAACUCCGUGCCAGCAGCCGCGGUAAUACGGAGGGGGCUAGCGUUGUUCGGAAUUACUGGGCGUAAAGCGCACGUAGGCGGCUAUUUAAGUCAGAGGUGAAAGCCUGGAGCUCAACGCCAGAACUGCCUGUGAGACUGGAUAGCUAGAAUCCUGGAGAGGUGAGUGGAAUUCCGAGUGUAGAGGUGAAAUUCGUAGAUAUUCGGAAGAACACCAGUGGCGAAGGCGGCUCACUGGACAGGUAUUGACGCUGAGGUGCGAAAGCGUGGGGAGCAAACAGGAUUAGAUACCCUAGUAGUCAC
rnacentral:rRNA from 1 species